ACCACCGCAUAAAUGAAGGAGAUUGUACAAUGAAGCUGGGCAGGCCACUCAAAAGAGUUAUUUCCCAAUUUAAUUUAUGGAGAAAAGAACGCUAUCCUUUUGUGCACUCUUGCAUCCAAACACGGGUGGCGAAAUGACCAUUCUGCCCACCUGUUAGAUAAUAUACUUACCCGUUUGCUAAGGCUCCAUUAACUCGGUAAAAUUUUGGGUUUUUUUGCCCUUUCCUCUUCAGUCCCCUCCCCAUUAGUAACUUCUUCUUCCCCAAUAAAAGAAAUGAUGUCAAGGAGUGUUAUGUGCUCUGUGAUUAUUGCUUUAGGAUGCUAGAUCCUUGCAAGAUUUUGAUUUAGAAAAGGGCAAAUAAGCGAGAUGUACCAGUCAGUGCAAAGCUGUUUCGUGAGCUUACCUUCCUUCAAUUGGCUACUCAAGUGGCUAGUGCCAAGUGCCCUUCCCAAAAACACAAUCCCUAUGGAGAUUAGUCCUAGUUGUAGCUUUCAAGUCAAUCAAAGGUACUGCAUUCACAAUGACAUUGUUCAUGUACAUUCGGUUUUAUUGGAAGGGUCAUCUACCUUGAUGUGAUAUUUGGAGGAGGGGAUAGCUACAUUGCGGUUUGUAUGCACCAGAAACCUGCCUGCACAUGGACAAGACAAGCUGCACCUCUACUACAAAUACACAACGAGGGGCAGAGAACCCCUCGCUGUCACGGCUGUGCUACUGGAGGAUCUGGGGAAGUCAGAAUAGGAGAGCACUUAUCUUGGGGUGGGCUUACCACUUAGAUGCUUUCAGCUGUCGCACCUUACUACAAAUAGACAACGAACAUGUCAACAAGCAACGCAGUUGUACUUUUAUCAACCAAAGCAUAUUGUUUGGUAACGUACAUUUACAUAACUGCAGUUUAUUUGUUGGCCCAUGCAUAUUUACUUUUGUCAUAUACUGGAUUAGAGCCUAAAUCCAAACCCAGAUAUAGUUUUUCUUUUGGUCAAUAUGAUUAGGAUUAAUAUUUAAUAGUGAAAGAAAUAUUACAUUGGUUAUUUAUUUUCAACAAAGCCUUAAUUUCAUACCUUGCUUUA